rnacentral:rRNA from 1 species
CGGGGCGGGGUGCUAUACAUGCAAGUCGAGCGGACAGAUGGGAGCUUGCUCCCUGAUGUUAGCGGCGGACGGGUGAGUAACACGUGGGUAACCUGCCUGUAAGACUGGGAUAACUCCGGGAAACCGGGGCUAAUACCGGAUGGUUGUUUGAACCGCAUGGUUCAGACAUAAAAGGUGGCUUCGGCUACCACUUACAGAUGGACCCGCGGCGCAUUAGCUAGUUGGUGAGGUAACGGCUCACCAAGGCGACGAUGCGUAGCCGACCUGAGAGGGUGAUCGGCCACACUGGGACUGAGACACGGCCCAGACUCCUACGGGAGGCAGCAGUAGGGAAUCUUCCGCAAUGGACGAAAGUCUGACGGAGCAACGCCGCGUGAGUGAUGAAGGUUUUCGGAUCGUAAAGCUCUGUUGUUAGGGAAGAACAAGUGCCGUUCAAAUAGGGCGGCACCUUGACGGUACCUAACCAGAAAGCCACGGCUAACUACGUGCCAGCAGCCGCGGUAAUACGUAGGUGGCAAGCGUUGUCCGGAAUUAUUGGGCGUAAAGGGCUCGCAGGCGGUUUCUUAAGUCUGAUGUGAAAGCCCCCGGCUCAACCGGGGAGGGUCAUUGGAAACUGGGGAACUUGAGUGCAGAAGAGGAGAGUGGAAUUCCACGUGUAGCGGUGAAAUGCGUAGAGAUGUGGAGGAACACCAGUGGCGAAGGCGACUCUCUGGUCUGUAACUGACGCUGAGGAGCGAAAGCGUGGGGAGCGAACAGGAUUAGAUACCCUGGUAGUCCACGCCGUAAACGAUGAGUGCUAAGUGUUAAGGGGGUUUCCGCCCCUUAGUGCUGCAGCUAACGCAUUAAGCACUCCGCCUGGGGAGUACGGUCGCAAGACUGAAACUCAAAGGAAUUGACGGGGGCCCGCACAAGCGGUGGAGCAUGGGGUUUAAUUCGAAGCAACGCGAAGAUCUUACCAGGUCUUGACAUCCUCUGACAUCCUAGAGAUAGGACGUCCCCUUCGGGGGCAGAGUGACA